UCCCUCUCAUGAUCGCACCUGGAGAGUUUCCAGUACUCCACCAGUCUCGGCUAUGGGAGGGAGAGUCAAGCAAUGGCAUACUCAUUUCAUUCUUAGCUUGGCCAGUGGCUAGUGAGUGGAAGGCAAUCUGCUACAAGU
rfam:Ornithorhynchus anatinus chromosome 3, whole genome shotgun sequence.